AAACUUAUUUCUCUCAUCCAAAUUCCAUAUGAAAAAGUUAAAACCUUUUGUCCACAUUCGCAAAUUAUUAUGUGUUCUUUGAUCUUAUUUUGCAUAAGUUUUUUUUUCCAUGUAAUUUUGCUUUUACUGAUUGAAACACUAUUUUCAUUUUACCGCAGCUCUGGUUGCUGCUAUUUGCCAUGAAGAUUGUAACUAUCAUCCACCAGAAUGGAGCAUAGACGUUGAUGAUGAUGAGGAUCCGCCUGAAGUUAGGAAAACUAAUCUACAUGCCGUUGAAGUAGCUAGCAUUGUUGAAUCAAAUUCAAACGGUUCCUCUAUUCUUCAAGUGAAGAAUAUACAUAUUAGUUCCAUCAUUUUAGCUGAAAAGAGUACUCAUUUUUAUGAGCUUUUCUCAAAUGAGGCAAGGGGUACUGAGGAGAGACAAGUAACUCUAAGAAUCCAUGCAUCAGGUAAAUAAACUUUUGUUCUCAUACGUUUCAUAACUAACAUGCAAACUUGGUGCA